AGCGGCAGACGGGUGAGUAACGCGUGGGAAUCUACCUUAAGCUACGGGAUAACAGAGAGAAAUUUCUGCUAAUACCGUAUGUGGCCUAUGGGCGAAAGAUUUAUCGGCUUAAGAUGAGCCCGCGUUGGAUUAGCUAGUUGGUGGGGUAAAGGCCUACCAAGGCGACGAUCCAUAGCUGGUCUGAGAGGAUGAUCAGCCACACUAGGACUGAGACACGGCCCAGACUCCUACGGGAGGCAGCAGUGGGGAAUAUUGGACAAUGGGCGGAAGCCUGAUCCAGCCAUGCCGCGUGAGUGAAGAAGGCCUUAGGGUUGUAAAGCUCUUUCACCGGUGAAGAUAAUGACGGUAACCGGAGAAGAAGCCCCGGCUAACUUCGUGCCAGCAGCCGCGGUAAUACGAAGGGGGCUAGCGUUGUUCGGAUUUACUGGGCGUAAAGCGCGCGUAGGCGGAUAGAUAAGUCAGAGGUGAAAUCCCGGGGCUCAACCCCGGAAUUGCCUUUGAUACUGUUUAUCUUGAGUGCAGAAGAGGUAAGUGGAAUUCCGAGUGUAGAGGUGAAAUUCGUAGAUAUUCGGGGGAACACCAGUGGCGAAGGCGGCUUACUGGUCUGCAACUGACGCUGAGGCGCGAAAGCGUGGGGAGCAAACAGGAUUAGAUACCCUGGUAGUCCACGCCGUAAACGAUGGAAGCCAGCCGUUGGCAGAUUUAUCUGUCGGUGGCGCAGCUAACGCAUUAAGCUUCCCGCCUGGGGAGUACGGUCGCAAGAUUAAGACUCAAAGGAAUUGACGGGGGCCCGCACAAGCGGUGGANCAUGUGGUUUAAUUCGAAGCAACGCGCAGAAC
rnacentral:rRNA from 2 species